UACGGAGGGUGCAAGCGUUGUCCGGAAUCAUUGGGUGUAAAGGGUGCGUAGGCGGGCUACUAAGUCCGGGGUGAAAUCUUGCCGCUUAACGGUAAAAUGGCCCCUGAUACUGGUAGUCUUGAGUGUAGAAGAGGCAGGUGGAAUUCGUAGUGUAGCGGUGAAAUGCAUAGAUAUUACGAAGAACAUCAGUGGCGAAGGCGGCCUGCUGGUCUACAACUGACGCUGAGGCACGAAAGCGUGGGGAGCGAACAGG
rnacentral:rRNA from 1 species